AGAGUAUAUCUCAGUGGUAGAGUGCAUGACUAGCAUGCAUGAGGUCCUGGGUUCAAUCCCCAGUACCUCUA
rnacentral:tRNA from 1 species